UUAUUUUAAUUUUUUUGAAAUGCCCUAAUCUAUUGUCUGCUUUCUUCUCCCUUCUAUACACUCUCAAAAGUCACCCUUCUUCUCCAUGGAAAUAUAGGCCCGUUAUCCUCCAAAUUUUUCUACAAUUCUGCCAGUUCCAUCUAUAGGCGAAGCUCACGAUGGUCAAGGCUCUAGGUGGCCGCGGCUCCAGGAAAUGAAGCUCCAGGUGGUCGAGGCUUCAGGCGACUGCUGCUUCAGGUUGUAGCUCCAGGUUAUUAAGGCUUCAGGCAACCACGAGCACGACUCCAGGCGGUUGUCAGAGGUGGAGAGAGGGCACGCACAGGAUUCAUGCAGAUGAUCUAAUUGGUAUUAUCAAAGCCUAACGGAAGAGGAGAAAUAUUGCUGCCAAAGUGUUAAAUCUCAAGGAAUAGAAGUGAUGGACAAGUUUCUUAGCCCAACUUCCACCCAACUAGGUGAAAUGCAUGAUACCGUAGACAUCACCCCAAACACUGCCCCAAAACCCACUCCAAACACUACUCCUAUUGAUCUUAAGUCACCCAAAAAAGAAGCUGAUGGUGAACUACCCACAACUAGGAACAAGCCUACUAGGAACUCUACAAUUUGGGAUCACUUUACAAAAGUGAAGGAUGAGAAUCCAAACGAUCCUAGAUGCACUUGUAACUAUUGUGGGAAAGACUAUGCUUGUGAUAGUAGGAGAGUUGGAACAAGUAGUUUGUGGGUACAUGUGAACAAUCAAUGUAAAAAGUAUCCUUAUAGGGUGGCUGAUAAAAAAGCAGAAAUUGCUUAGCUUUCAAAGUGGUAAUGAUGGUGGGGGAAAUUUGUUGGCUGUGACCUUUAAUAAGGAGAUAUGUCGGAAAGCCUUAGCUAAGUUCACGGUGAAGGAUUAGCAAGCCUUUAGUGUUGUAGAUGGUGAAGGCUUUGAAGAUCUUGUUCAGGAGUUGCAACCAAAAUAUGUUAUCCCUAAUAGAAGGGCUGUGACUAGGGAUAUAUAUAUAUAUCAAUUAUUUUGUGAUGAGAGGGUUAAAUUAAAGGAAAAGUUAACUAGAGAUGGGAAAAGGGUAUUGUAACGUCCUACGUUUUCGGGUACCUUUAAACGACUCGGGUCGGGAUUUUUCCCCCGGGUUAAGAAUAUUAUUUUAAAUAAUAUUAUAUUUUGUUUGUAAGUAUUCCAUGAGUUAUUGCUAGCCAAAAUAUGAAUUUUGUGAUUUUAAAAGUCAAGAUAAGACUUUCAGUCCUGGACCGACACAAAAACCCUGAUCGGGUAAAAAUCUCGGAAAAUAAAAUGAAAAAUCAUGGAAAUUAUAUUUUGGGCAUAAAAUACAUUCAUAAAAGUUAAAGUUUGGUCAAAAAUAAUAAACCUAAAAGAAAAUGGAAAUUUUAGGGCAUUUUGUGUUAAAUGCCUAAUUUUACCAAAAUGGGGAAUUUUAUUCCAUGAAUGGACCUUAGGUUAAAUUUUAUUAUGUGAUUAAUUAAAUUAAAUGUGAGAGACAUUUAAUUUAAUUAAUUAAUGUUAAGUUUGGUGAUUAAAACUUAAUAAGAGUGAAAAAGGUGUCAAAAGCCAAUUUGGACUUUUCUUCUUAUGAAACCUUUUUUUAACCUUUAUUAAAAAAAAAAAAUGAAA